AGGGGGUUAUAAGACCUGCUAACUCUUUAAUCUGGGAGUAACCCCCAGCCCCCUC
rnacentral:tRNA from 1 species